UACGAAGGGGGCUAGCGUUGUUCGGAUUUACUGGGCGUAAAGCGCACGUAGGCGGAUUGUUAAGUCAGGGGUGAAAUCCCGGAGCUCAACUCCGGAACUGCCUUUGAUACUGGCAAUCUAGAGUCCGGAAGAGGUGAGUGGAACUCCUAGUGUAGAGGUGGAAUUCGUAGAUAUUAGGAAGAACACCAAUGGCGAAGGCAGCUCGCUGGGACGGUACUGACGCUGAGACGCGAAAGCGUGGGGAGCAAACAGG
rnacentral:rRNA from 1 species